UGGAAAAGACAAAUUUUAUAGAAGUACCACUGUCCUCCUUGGACGGAGUGAGGAUCGAAAGCGUGAAUGAUUGGAAAGCCAGUAGACGGGGCCGGGUCUGUGCUAAGUGCGCACGGGAGAGCGUCACACAGCGAGGGCUAAGGGGCGACUGUUCGGCUUCUAAACUGACUCGGCUUGAACUGAAAGCCUGACUCACUGCCUGUCAACCCGAGACGUGCGUCUGCUUGACCAGUGAGUCCGGACUGCGCUCUCUUCACACGAGGAUGCAGCCGCCCCCUCCCGCGCCCUCUGGGGGAGGCCUGGUCCUCUCAGCAGGGUCCUGGUGACCUGCUGCUGCGCCUCUGAAGGCCUCUGUGACGUUCUGAUGGCAACGUAUCCUGGUGUGUUUGACGUGUGCUGCUUGUUCCGAAAGGAGACGAGACCGUUCUGACAGCCAUGCUCUCCGAACGCCUCACCCUCACUCUGGCUCCUGAUAAACUCACCCCAGUUUUCACUGAUAGGCUGGUUAUGGAUUAUUUGCGUAGACAUUUUGGGUCAAUGCCAGUCGUGAUCAUGCUAUAAUAAUGGUAAUUAUCAUUAUAGCAUUAUCACCAUCACCAUCACUUUGAAGCAGCUCUGCAAAACCCUUCACGUCUGUCCUGUCCUCCGAGAGAAACGGGGUCCUCUCAUCCUGAGCGACAGGGCUGCCUGGAGGCCCAGGGAGGAAGGUGCGAAGCCCCCAGGGGGCUCUGGGCAGGGGCCAGUCCCCACACCCCCACCGCGCCCACGCAGCCCCCGUGCUCUUAUUCAGAGCUGCCAGCGCUGGGCUCCUCUGCCCUGGGGCGGGAAGGGCAGGGGCAUCCCUUUAGGCUGCUGACUGGGAGGCCCAUGAAAGUGUAGGAAGGCCCGAGGGGUAGGGAGAGGACGUCUGGGUGGAAACUGAGUCAGGGCCAAGCAACAGAGCCUGCAGCUGUGACUUGCAGCCCGCCUCAGCCCUGACAGGUUCGAGGGCGAGACAGGGCUCCUCGGGAGGCGUGCAGGUGGGGGUGGGCUCCUGGGCCACCAGGCGGCAGGCUGAGGGUCUCCCGGAGCCGCUCCCUCUCUGCGGGCUGGGCCCCUCACUGGCCCGGGCAGAAGCAGGAGGAUUCGGUGGCGUUUGGAAGAUGAAGAACCCUUGAAAAACAGCCUGUGAGCGUCGAACAGAAUGGGUCUCUGUCGAUGUCGUUGGCAUAACAAGGCCAUCAUAACAAAUCAUCAGUCAUAGGAAGAAUCUGCCAGUGAGGAGGAGCAGAGGCCCG
rnacentral:lncRNA from 1 species